ensembl:snRNA U6 U6 spliceosomal RNA
UUGCUUCUGUAGCACAUACAUUAGAACUGUAAUGAUACUGAGAAGAUUAGCAUGGCCCUGCACAAGGAAGGCACACAAAUUCAAGAAGCUUCUGUAUUUCAU